rnacentral:rRNA from 1 species
CGACUGGCCGAGGGGUGAGUAACGCGUAUGAAUCUACCUAGUAGUGGGGGAUAGCCAAGGGAAACUUUGGGUAAUACCGCAUACGAUCUAAGGAUGAAAGGGGGCCUCUCUUUGAAGCUCUCGCUAUUAGAUGAGCCUGCGUAAGAUUAGCUUGUUGGUGGGGUAAUGGCCGACCAAGGCGACGAUCUUUAGCUGGUCUGAGAGGAUGAUCAGUCACACUGGGACUGAGACACGGUCCAGACUCCUACGGGAGGCAGCAGUCGGGAAUAUUGCACAAUGGAGGAAACUCUGAUCCAGCCAUGCCGCGUGUGUGAAGAAGGCCCUUGGGUUGUAAAGCACUUUUGUCGGGAAAGAUA